UUCACGCAAUAUGUAUCUUCAUAUGCCUUAUCCUCCCAAUCCUCUUCGAUCUGUAAAUGUCGAUCUGGCGAUUGAAUCUAACUACAAGCCAGCACCAGUGCCCUCCCUCUCCCCUUCCUAUGCCGCCUCCCUCACAACCUAGGCAAGGCUUGAUGUGCUGAAGCUACAUGGGAUGUAGUGCCCCUCAUGAGAUUAUCCCGGCAGAGUCUGAGCUACGGCUCGACGGCCAUGGUCGACCCACCGUGGCUGCCGCCGUGCCGCCUGUGUCCACAUGCGAGGCUGUGAGGGUAUUGCAAGGUGUACCGAUUGUGCUCUAAACUAGAUGGUGCAGCUGUCGUAUGUGGUGUGUUGACAAUUCAAGAACCUACUAGAAGACUGGUGGCACAGUGAUUUACAUCUCCGAAGUCACCAAGUUCAUCCUCGGUUGUCUAGAUCCACUAAAUUCGGUGCAUACCCUGCUUGAUUUUUCUGUAGCACUAACACUAAAGAUCUCUUAUUUUUCUUAUAAGUACACCACAGUACCACAUGCAAAGCCAAGACGCUGAUUGCAAGGACGCUGGAUCAUAUAGAUGAUUCUCAGGUGGUGGUUCGGACAACCUGCCGGUGUAGAAGGUGUGAAGAGCUAGGAUAUGUUGUCUUUCCAGGUCCCAACAUUGACCCGAGCCUGUUCUGCCAUGCCAAGUUGGCCGGAUCAAGCUUGCUAUGUCUCUCGUGUCAGCUAACCGGUUGUGCGCACUGACACAACAGAACGGCCAUCAGCGGCAACGCAUGCAGAUUGAAGAGGGGAAGCAGGACUUCAGGAUAUGGAAAUUGCAAGCAUGUUGUAGAUGGAGAGAGGGACAACGGACGGGACUACAGAAUUUGCAAGCAUGCUGUACAUGGAGAGAGGGACAACUGAUGGAUGAGAAUACAAAGCGAUAGAUGCAUACGUCGAUACGUGCUUUUGAGAUUGGAUCUUAAUUAAUUAAUCCUAUGCAACUAACUUGUUGCUUCAGGCUUAAUUCCUUUCAGGGCUGGGACUGAAUCAUACCUUUGUUGCAGUUAAGCUAUACGUUCAUCUUUCCCAAAGGAACCAAUGAUUCCCUUACUAUUUUUCUUACCAAACGUUUUGAUGCUCUUUGA